AUUGGGAGCGUGUAUCUGUCCGUCUGUCUGUCUGUCUGCCUGUUUACGUGAGAGUGCGUGUGCGUGUGAAGUGUAAGUCUCUGUUACGGUUGCGGACCGACACCCCGCCCUCAUGGGUAAAACCCUCCGUUUGUCAAUGGCCAUGCAAAUGACCAUUGUUUUUCCAUGCAUGUGAUUUGUUUACAAUUAUGUUAGUUUUGAUGUGCCUGUCCCCGGACGUGAUUGGUUACUGCAUCGGAAAGCCGAGGAUCCAGGAAGACAAAAUACGGGCGGCACCUUGUCUCGGAUUUGCAGCUUGCCAUUUAGGUCUUCAAAAGCUUAGUUUGUUACUUGAUUGAGGCUCUUGUUAGCUACCAGGGAACUGGGCCAGGGUAAGGUUGUUGAAGGUUAUCGAAAACCGACACGCAGUUACACCUUUGUUAAGAAACACUAGGCGCACGUGUAUUUUGGGAGCUUCUCUUUGGUUAGAUUCAUUUCUUUGAUUUGGACAGCACCCAAUGGUCCUUUUCCUUUUGUAGUUUUGCCUCCUCUGUUAGUGUUUAAUUGAUUACACCAAGCUCCGGGUUAAAUAAACAACUUUAAGUUAACCAACGAAAAAAAAGUUAGUUUCGGCAAAACCGGUGGUAAUUUUUUAUUUUGAGGCGGCAGGGGGUGUUUUCGCAGCUAAAUAUACCUAAUAAAGUAACUUGUAAUCUAACUUAGUUACUUUUAAAAUCAAGUAAUCAGUAAAGUAACUAAGUUACUAUUUUAAGGAGUAACUAGUAAUCAGUAAUCAGAUUACUUUUUCAAGGUAACUGUGGCAACACUGGUUGCCAGUGAUGCCAGAUCGGGCGGGAAAUCUGGCCGCAUCUGGCGGAGGCGUCACAUAGGGUACAUUCACACAACCUCCAUCUGUCGACGGAUCUCAUUGACUUUGAAUGGGAUGCUCUCAAAAUGCUUUGAGGGUCCGUCCAUUUUGUCGGCUCCGUUGCCUGCGUCAAAAAGUUGAGAAAUGUUAAACUUUUCAGGCAGCGACGGCAGGAUCCGUCGGCCAAUCAGAUCGCGGUUAUGCAAAUAACUCCACGUGACUACUGGAUCCAUUUUGCAAUAGCAAGCAGGAAGUAGCAAGAAAAUCUGGCCGUUAUUCUUUUUAAAGAUCUCCUAUUAUACUACUUUUCUGGUCUUCAUUUCUUAUUAAUGACUCCUAUAGAGCAACCUGACAUGAAUCACAGCACAAAAAAACGAUGUAGAUUUUCGGGAAACUCUUCCUCUCAUCUGGGCACUUUCAGCAUUCUUUGUCAACACUCGGCUUCAUCCUUCUCUGCCACCUCUCCCCCCUCCUGCCAAACCCACUCCGUUGUGAUUGGUUACCUUCAGGAAGAGCAUGUUGCAGCAUUACCAUACAUGGAAAAUCCGGAUUGUUCUAUGUAGAUAAAUCCCGGAAACUUGAACAAGUGAAUCGGACCGGUGUGAGUACCAGAUGUGUUCGGCUGCCAGAUCGGCUCGGGGGUCCUAGAUGUGCAAUAAUGACGCACUUCCUGUAAACGAUGUCAUUAAAUGUGCAUGCGCGGGCAUCAGUAGCAGGUGUGUCAGCGUUUUUCCGCUCUUAAGUCAGUGUGUGUGCCUGUGUGUGUAUCCAAACACGUACACUGCAAUUCACAUACACACAUACAGCUGAAUGUGGUAACACAUUAUAUACAUUCUUAUAGGCCUACCUUGAAAUUUUUACUAUUUUACAGAUGUUUUUUAAAUUAUAGAGCAAAGAUACCCCUGGUGGAAACGAGGAAAAUGUUAAAUUUUUUAUUGUUAUUAGUUGUAUAGGCAAGGAUACAAUUCAUUGAACAUCUGGUAAAUCAUAAAAAAAAUCAAUUUUCAAGAAAUAGGAUGAAUAUCUAAUAUGAACACAUUCAUGAAUUCAUCCUCAAUUCAUCAUGGGAUCUAAACAUGCCGUUUUUUAUGGAUUUACAUUUAGCUGUUCCUCAGUUGUAUCAAUGUAUUGUCUUAUUUAUUCUGUUUUGUAUGAGCAAAUAAAAUCUCAUCAAUCAUAUGACUGUCAAA